AGCAGCCGCGGUAAUUCCAGCUCCAAUAGCGUAUAUUAAAGUUGUUGCAGUUAAAAAGCUCGUAGUUGAAUUUCGGGGUCAAUAAGUUGGUCAUGCCAAUGGUAUGUACUGGCUUUAUUGAUUCCUACCUCUUGACGAACUGUGAUGCCAUUAAUUUGGUGUUGCAAGGAAUCAGGACUGUUACCUUGAAAAAUUAGAGUGUUUAAAGCAAGCUUACGCUUGAAUACAUUAGCAUGGAAUAAUGAAAUAGGACGUUUGAUCCUAUUUUGUUGGUUUCUAGGAUCGACGUAAUGAUUAAUAGGGAUAGUUGGGGGCAUUAGUAUUCAAUUGUCAGAGGUGAAAUUCUUGGAUUUAUUGAAGACUAACUACUGCGAAAGCAUUUGCCAAGGAUGUUUUCAUUAAUCAAGAACGAAAGUUAGGGGAUCGAAGACGAUCAGAUACCGUCGUAGU
rnacentral:rRNA from 1 species